rnacentral:rRNA from 1 species
CAAAAACAUGUCCUUUUUUAAAAAAUAUAAGGUCUAACCUGCCCAAUGAUUAGUAAUUGAAUGGCCGCGGUAUAUUAACUGUGCUAAGGUAGCAUAAUCAUUUGUCUUUUAAUUGAAGGCUAGAAUGAAUGGUUGGACGAAACAUAAACUUUCUUUAACUUAGUUUUGAGAAUUUAAUUUUUUAGUUAAAAAGCUAAAAUUUAUUUGAGGGACGAGAAGACCCUAUAGAUCUUUAUAUUUAUGAUUAUCAUAUAAUUUAGUGAAUUUAAUUAUUUUAAUAAUUUUAUUUAUUUGGUUGGGGUGACUGUAGAAUUUCAAUAACUUCUAUUAUAAAUUUUUCAUUAAUUAAUGUUUAAUUGAUCCAUUUAUAUUGAUUAUAAGAUUAAGUUACCUUAGGGAUAACAGCGUAAUUUUUUCGGAGAGUUCUUAUUGAUGGAAAAGUUUGCGACCUCGAUGUUGGAUUAAAAUAAGUGUUUAGGUGCAGGAGCCAAAUAACUAGGUCUGUUCGACCUUUAAUUUUUUACAUGAUCUGA